GCCUGGCUGGCCCGGUUGGUGGAGCGUGGGACUCUUGAUCUCGGGGUCGUGGGCUCGAGCCCCACGUUAGGUA
rnacentral:tRNA from 1 species